rnacentral:rRNA from 1 species
AGUGAACGCUGGCGGUAGGCCUAACACAUGCAAGUCGAACGGCAGCACAGUAAGAGCUUGCUCUUACGGGUGGCGAGUGGCGGACGGGUGAGGUAUACAUCGGAAUCUACUUUUUCGUGGGGGAUAACGUAGGGAAACUUACGCUAAUACCGCAUACGACCUACGGGUGAAAGCAGGGGAUCUUCGGACCUUGCGCGAUUGAAUGAGCCGAUGUCGGAUUAGCUAGUUGGCGGGGUAAAGGCCCACCAAGGCGACGAUCCGUAGCUGGUCUGAGAGGAUGAUCAGCCACACUGGAACUGAGACACGGUCCAGACUCCUACGGGAGGCAGCAGUGGGGAAUAUUGGACAAUGGGCGCAAGCCUGAUCCAGCCAUACCGCGUGGGUGAAGAAGGCCUUCGGGUUGUAAAGCCCUUUUGUUGGGAAAGAAAAGCUGUAGAUUAAUACCCCGUGGGUAUGACGGUACCCAAAGAAUAAGCACCGGCUAACUUCGUG